AGCAGUCGCCACGGUAAUACGGAGGGUGCAAGCGUUAAUCGGAAUUACUGGGCGUAAAGCGUGCGUAGGCGGUGAGUUAAGUCUGCUGUGAAAUCCCCGGGCUCAACCUGGGAAUGGCAGUGGAUACUGGCUCGCUAGAGUGUGUCAGAGGAUGGUGGAAUUCCCGGUGUAGCGGUGAAAUGCGUAGAGAUCGGGAGGAACAUCAGUGGCGAAGGCGGCCAUCUGGGACAACACUGACGCUGAGGCACGAAAGCGUGGGGAGCAAACAGGAUUAGAUACCCCCGUAGUCCCUGUCUCUUAUAC
rnacentral:rRNA from 1 species